AGAGAGGAAGUGGAGCACAUGAUCCAGAAGAACCAAUGUCUCUUCACCAACACCCAGUGUAAGGUUUGCUGCGCCUUGCUUAUUUCUGAGUCCCAGAAGCUGGCACAUUACCAGAGCAAAAAACAUGCCAACAAAGUGAAGAGAUACCUAGCAAUCCAUGGAAUGGAGACAUUAAAGGGGGAAACGAAGAAGCUAGACUCAGAUCAGGUAAUACAGCUGCCAUAUUGAGCCCACUUGCUUCAUGAUGAAGCCAGCCAGCAGGUUGGUGUGGUGAACAAGUCAGACUGUCUUGGCUUCAAAUCCUGGCCCUGUUGUGUGACUCGGGCAAGUCUAUUACUUCACAAAGCCUUGAUUUCUUCCUCUAUAAAAAUGAGGAUGGUAAUAUCAACUACCUUUCAGGAUUUUUUAGAACUAAAAUUGAGGGCAGAUUUAUAAAAAGCACCCAAUUCAGAGCCUGGCACAUAGUAGGGACUCAGUAAUGGAGCUGGUAUUACAUAUUACCGCCUAGUGGUUUGUUAGAGCAAGACAAGAGAAAAUGGAAAGAAGCCAGGCUGCUUGCUUUCUUGAGGGCCAAGGAAAAGAACUA
rnacentral:lncRNA from 10 species